GAUGAACGCUGGCGGCGUGCUUAACACAUGCAAGUCGAGCGAAGCACUGGUUUUGAUCUUUUCGGAGUGAAGGACCUUUGACUGAGCGGCGGACGGGUGAGUAACGCGUGGGGAACCUGCCCCAUACCGGGGGAUAACAGAUGGAAACGUCUGCUAAUACCGCAUAAGCGCACGAGGAGGCAUCUCUUUGUGUGAAAAACUCCGGUGGUAUGGGAUGGACCCGCGUCGGAUUAGCCAGUUGGCGGGGUAACGGCCCACCAAAGCGACGAUCCGUAGCCGGCCUGAGAGGGCGACCGGCCACAUUGGGACUGAGACACGGCCCAAACUCC
rnacentral:rRNA from 1 species